GGGUUAACAUGGUGGCAAGCCGUGGGGCCUGAUGUGUGGUUCAAGCGAUGGGGUGACACAGUGGGGUAGCCAUGCCGCUUAGUGGAUUGUUGGUGUAAGCGUGUAGGUGAUGGUGUAGGUAAAUCCGCACUUGUUAUGCUGAGACGUGAUGCGUAGCCUUAAUUGGUGAAGUUGGUGAUCCCGUGCUGUCGAGAAAAGCCUCUAGCGAUGUAUAUACUCGGCCCGUACCCCAAACCGACACAGGUAGUCAGGUUGAAAAUACUAAGGCGUUCGGGUGAACUGUGGUUAAGGAACUCGGCAAAAUGCCCCCGUAACUUCGGGAGAAGGGGGACCCUAUGGCGUGAACACCCAUUUGCGGUGGGAAGCGUUGUGGGGUCGCAGAGAAUAGAGGGAAGCGACUGUUUAUCAAAAACACAGGUCCAUGCGAAGACGUUAAGUUGAUGUAUAUGGACUGACGCCUGCCCGGUGCUGGAAGGUUAAGAGGACCGGUUAAUCAAGCUUUGCUUGGUGAAGCUGAGAAUUUAAGCCCCAGUAAACGGCGGUGGUAACUAUAACCAUCCUAAGGUAGCGAAAUUCCUUGUCGGGUAAGUUCCGACCUGCACGAAUGGCGUAACGACUUCCCUGCUGUCUCAACCACAGGCCCGGUGAAAUUGCACUACGAGUAAAGAUGCUCGUUACGCGCGGCAGGACGAAAAGACCCCGGGACCUUCACUAUAGCUUGGUAUUGGUGUUCGGUUCGGUUUGUGUAGGAUAGGUGGGAGACUAUGAGACGUGUGCGCCAGCACGCGUGGAGUCGUUGUUGAAAUACCACUCUGAUCGGAUUGGAUACCUUAACCUUGGCCCAUGAUCUGGGUUGGGGACAGUGCCUGGUGGGUAGUUUAACUGGGGCGGUUGCCUCCCAAAAUGUAACGGAGGCGCCCAAAGGUUCCCUCAGCCUGGUUGGCAAUCAGGUGGUGAGUGUAAGUGCACAAGGGAGCUUGACUGUGAGAGUGACAGCUCGAACAGGGACGAAAGUCGGGACUAGUGAUCCGGCACCUACUUGUGGAUGUGGUGUCGCUCAACGGAUAAAAGGUACCCCGGGGAUAACAGGCUGAUCUUCCCCAAGAGUCCAUAUCGACGGGAUGGUUUGGCACCUCGAUGUCGGCUCGUCGCAUCCUGGGGCUGGAGUAGGUCCCAAGGGUUGGGCUGUUCGCCCAUUAAAGCGGCACGCGAGCUGGGUUCAGAACGUCGUGAGACAGUUCGGUCUCUAUCCGCCGCGCGCGUUGAAACUUGAAGAAGGCUGUCCCUAGUACGAGAGGACCGGGACGGACGUACCUCUAGUGUGCCAGUUGUUCCGCCAGGGGCAUCGCUGGUUGGCUACGUACGGAAGGGAUAACCGCUGAAAGCAUCUAAGCGGGAAGCCUGUUUUAAGAUGAGGUUUCAUUUGAGGUCCCCUAAAGACUAUGGGGUUGAUAGGCCAGACAUGGAAGCACCGCAAGGUGUGGAGUCUACUGGUACUAAUAGACCAAAACAAACACACA
rnacentral:rRNA from 1 species